rnacentral:rRNA from 1 species
UGGGGAAUAUUGGACAAUGGGCGCAAGCCUGAUCCAGCCAUGCCGCGUGAGUGAUGAAGGCCUUAGGGUUGUAAAGCUCUUUCGCCGGUGAAGAUAAUGACGGUAACCGGAGAAGAAGCCCCGGCUAACUUCGUGCCAGCAGCCGCGGUAAUACGAAGGGGGCUAGCGUUGCUCGGAAUCACUGGGCGUAAAGCGCACGUAGGCGGAUCGUUAAGUCAGGGGUGAAAUCCUGGAGCUCAACUCCAGAACUGCCCUUGAUACUGGCGAUCUCGAGUUCGAGAGAGGUUGGUGGAACUCCGAGUGUAGAGGUGAAAUUCGUAGAUAUUCGGAAGAACACCAGUGGCGAAGGCGGCCAACUGGCUCGAUACUGACGCUGAGGUGCGAAAGCGUGGGGAGCAAAACAGGAUUAGAUACCCUGGUAGUCCACGCCGUAAACGAUGGAUGCUAGCCGUUGGGGGGUUUACCUCUCAGUGGCGCAGCUAACGCCUUAAGCAUCCCGCCUGGGGAGUACGGUCGCAAGAUUAAAACUCAAAUGAAUUGACGGGGUCAUAGCUG